CCUCGGAGGCGUAGAGCUGCUGUGGCUGCAUUGCAUCUGUGGAAGGUAUGAGAGGUCAGGGGAGAAGACACCUCGAAGGCGCCAGCUGGUGGAGCUCUGAAGGAUCCAGAGAAUAACCUGUAGGUCCCUGGAGUGGUGUGCAGGCUCAGCUGCCAAGGGCCACUAGGGGUCAGAUGUCCCUGGGGAAGACUUUGGGGGAGGACCCUCUACCCCUUCCGGGUCCACAGACCCACACCUUCCUGCUCAGGGUAGGUGAGUAACCCAAAGGCAGAGAUUUGGUAAAAAUCCUGGGGUGGUGGCACUUUUCUGUGGCUACAGCAAGCCUAACCAGCCAUCAGGCUUCUCAUCUCCAGCCCUUCCCCCUUUGAGGCUGGGCUGAGGGGGUGAUCCAGAAAAAGGGCCCUGGAUGCUGCCCCGCCCUGCGGCAGACUUCCUGGUCUGGCUUCAUCCCCAGCUGUUCCCACCACACACUUGCUGUACAAACCAACACAGAUCCUUCCGUGGCUGUCCUCACCUAGAACAGGUAGGGCUUGAGCUCUGGGAGGCAGACCCGGCCUUCCAGGUUCCUCCCUCUUGGAUGGGGUAGGCCUGGACAUGCACCAUGCACAUGCUGCCACUGGCUUCCUCAGCCCAAGGACCUCCUUCCCGAUUCUUUCCACUUAUCCCCCACAUCCUACAGAGGUGACCACUAAGAUUUGCUCCCGUCUCUCCACAGCCCAGGGGUCUGAGCAUAUGAGGGCACCGAGUUGGUUUGUGUUCCUGAAGGUGCAUGGAGAAACUCAGAGUUAUCUGCCCACCUGGGGGCAUCAAGCACUUGAGUUCAGAAGGUUCUUCUCCCACCUACCAAGAAUGGAGCCCCGCAGCUCUCGGGCAAUGAUGUGUAGAUCAUCCACAUCAACGAAGUGCAGAUGCUUCUGAGCAGGGGCUGAGGCAGCUGCAGACAGCUCUAGCAGGUUGCCACGGCCCGUGCUGACAAUGAAGACUGUGACGCCCUGGUCCUUGAGCUCCUGCAUUGGGGGGCCCACAGGGUCGCUGGAGGCACCAUCUGUCACCCACACCAGUACCUUGGGCACCCCUGGCCGGGCACCCAUUGCCUCAGCAAACAGUUGCUCCCGGGCAUAGGCCAGUGCCAGGCCAGUGUUGGUGUCACCCAUUCGCUGGGCUGCAGCACGGAUGGCGUCCUGGACAGCCUGGCUUGAGUUGUGUUGGUUGAAGGGGAACUCGGUGUGUGGCCUGCUACCCACAUGCACCAGGCUGGCACGCAGGGCCCCAGGGCCCAGGGGCAGCAGUGCCACCAGCUGCCCCACAAACUCCCGAACCCGGGAGAACUCGUAGUGUGAUACGCUGGCGGAGCUGUCCAACAGGAGCAACAGGUCCCCCUGGGGGGCCGAUGCCAAGGGACCUGGGGAAAGACAAGGGUCAACCCCAAAUGGUGGCCCCAGGUCAUCCUACACCCAGAGCAGAGACCCCUGAGGCCCGGGUUUUCCUUGAGCCUGUGCUCACCCUUGCCCUGAGGUCCAAAGGGUAGUACCUCAGGGGAGAGGGUCUCUGGACCAAGCAGGAGGCUCACACUCUCAGUGCAUUCCAGCUCUCUACACAGGCCAUGUGACCUAGUGCACCCUGGGCUGGCGCAGGUCCCCUGUGCAGAGGAGUGCUAACCCUCCAAGACCCUACAUUCCCUUCUCAGCAGACAUCCAAUGUAGGUGGAGCCAAAAGCCGGGGCAUAGGCCUCCCUGAAGGUCUGAGUCUGGGGUCCACUCCCUCAGGCUUGGUUUUCAGAGAGGCCACAUGGAGGCUGGAAUUCAGCCACACAGCUCAAGCUCCAGGUCCAGCCCGUGGACCUGCCGGCGGGGCAUGGCAGACGCCGGCCUCGCCGCUCAGUCGUGCCGCCUGGAGCACCUGGGCGCGCCCCCCACAGGUGGCUGGGGUGCUGGGCUGGCUCCCAGCUCAGCUCCCGAAACCGCCAGCCCACCCGCCUCGCAGCCAAGCGUGGGCAGCGGGAACGAGGGGCCGUCAGGAGUCAGAGCCCUGGCCCCGCCGCACUCACCGCGCUCCGCGCCGCUCCGCGCCAGCGCCAGCCGCAGGCUCAGGGCCAGGCUGAGCGCCGUCCAGGGGAGCAUCGCGCGCGGUGGGAUGGGGCGCUCGGCCGCAGCUUGUUGCUGGCUUGCUCCGGGACAGCCGGGCGCGGGCCUGAGAGGGCCCGCCCCCGGGAGGCCACACCCACGGCCACGCCCACGCCGCGGGCGCACGCACUCACCCAGGCGCGCACCCCAGAAACGACCUGCGCGGACUUGGCAGUGGAGCCCUCACGAGCCACCUGGACAAGAGGCGACACGCAGCACUAACCCAGGCACCACCGAGGCACGCACUUGUGGGCAUGCACACACAGGCUCUCCCCUCUCCCGGCUGUGAGGCUGUGGGGUCGCCCGCACUCCAAACCCUUUGCCUGUGAUUCCCAAGUGUUAGGGGCCCCUGAAGCCAAACCCCAGGUCCUGGCUGCACCUUGGCUACAAGGCUGAGGGAUAGGUGUCCCUAAGGACUAGUCAACAGGAACUGGAAGGGCCUUAGAGUGGGGACAGGAGCCUGAAGACAAGACACAGGAACAGGAGACAGUUGGUUCAGGCCUUGUCCUGCGCCAUGCCCAUAAUGGCCCUACUGCUGGCCUCCUACACUCUACCCAAGGAAGGGCCCGAAGCCACAGAUAUAAGACCCUAGCAGGACUCGAGGGGCCCACUAGACAGAGCUGAGCCCUGUAAUUUUUUUUUAAUAUUUUGUAGAUAAAAUGCCUUCAUUUUAUUUAU